AACGAACGCUGGCGGCAUGCCUAACACAUGCAAGUCGAACGAGACCUUCGGGUCUAGUGGCGCACGGGUGCGUAACGCGUGGGAACCUGCCCUUAGGUUCGGAAUAACUCCCCGAAAGGGGUGCUAAUACCGGAUAAUGUCUUCGGACCAAAGAUUUAUCGCCUUUGGAUGGGCCUGCGUUGGAUUAGCUAGUUGGUAGGGUAAAAGCCUACCAAGGCGACGAUUCAUAGCUGGUCUGAGAGGAUGAUCAGCCACACUGGGACUGAGACACGGCCCAGACUCCUACGGGAGGCAGCAGUGGGGAAUAUUGGACAAUGGGCGAAAGCCUGAUCCAGCAAUGCCGCGUGAGUGAUGAAGGCCUUAGGGUUGUAAAGCUCUUUUACCCGGGAUGAUAAUGACAGUACCGGGAGAAUAAGCUCCGGCUAACUCCGUG
rnacentral:rRNA from 1 species